UGCAGCCACAUAACUUCUCUGACUUGUGUAAAAUGUCAGACACAAGCCACAUUGUCAAAGAUGACACAGAAGGUCAGAAGUAAUAUAAUAAUAUAACUGUACAACAUUACUUGAAAUGCAGUGAAUCUUCGUAAAUGGGUGUGGUCUUAGAAUAUGUAUGAAUGAGAAAGCAACAGAAAAAUGAGUGAGAAGGCUAGAAGAGAAAGGACAUAUGAAGAGAUAAUGAGAGAAAGAAGGAGAGCGAAGGAGAGAGAAUGAGUAAGAGGUCUAUGACCUUCACAACUGUUUAUUUUGUUGCAUUUGUGUUUGUAUGAGUCUCUGAAAGGUAAA